rnacentral:rRNA from 1 species
GACGGAGGAUGCAAGCGUAAUCCGGAAUGAUUGGGCGUAAAGCGUUCGCAGGUGGCUGUUCAAGUCUGCUGUCAAAGACCGGGGCUUAACCCUAGAAAGGCAGUGGAAACUGGACGGCUGGAGUGCAGUAUGGGUAGAGGGAAUUCCGAGUGUAGCGGUGAAAUGCGUAGAGUUUGGGAAGAACACCGGUGGCGAAAGCGCUCUGCUGGACUGCAACUGACACUGAGGGACGAAAGCUAGGGGAGCGAAAGGG